GCAGUCUUCUGUUAUUUGCAGCAUUCCUUAAUCCUAAAAUACGCCAACAAAAGCAGUCCAAAAACGGAUGCAGUCUGAUGCAACGCAUCAUAUUACCAUGUUUUGCACGUCUACACAUUACUUGAACAUAACAACAUCCUAAGUGAUGGCCAGCAAGGUUUUUGAAAUAGAAGGUCAUUCCUGACAAACCUUCUGGUAUUCUUUAUUAACCUCUCAUGAGGUUGUCUACUAAUAGCCUAUCAUUCAUGAGGAGAUAUCUCGCAUGCAUACAGAAAAAUAAAGGAACAACAAAGCCAGCCCCUGCAGGUGAGGCUAGCAUGUAUCUGCAUCUUUAAUACUCAUAGCUUGCUGGAGUGGAACCAAUUAACUUUUCCACUAGCUACAAUAUUUAUUGUGGCGGUCAGCUGGGAUGGGGGCUGGGCCGCAAAUGUGUCCCACCCCAAUGUCAAACACACUCCUACGCCCCUGCCGAGGACUGAGUCACCGUCCUGGUGUGCCUGGAUUUCAGUCAUCUGCUAAUGAUCUGCUGAGCUGUUAACUGGCGUUCUUGACAAAAUAUUUGCUGUCACAAUAUUUUCUCAGCCACAUGUGAUAUGGCGUAUGAGAACCAGAAGCGUCUCAUUCGCAGUCGCCAUAUGCAUGUUGGGAGGUCAUCUAAGUUUCCGGAGCCUUCUAGGAACCAACAGUUUGAUGUGGAAAGUUUUCCCUACGAGAAACUUGCAAAUCUUUCGCGGGCCCACAUUGCAGUGAGCAGCUCCUUCUUGAUCUGCUGAGUGAUGCUGAGAGCUCUUGAAUCAUAUGCCACCUGAUUAUCUGCCUGUGUCUGGAGGGGGACAGCUCCUAGGGGUUUGGUUUUCGCAGCCAGAUGUGGCAGACAUUUCCCCAGGUGAUUAGCCAUGCCUGUAAAGCUCCUGACCUCACUGAUGUUCCUUGGCUCCUGCAUGGCUGUCACUGUGAAACUAAUUAACUUUUCAUAGUACAUCAAGAGUGAUUUUAUUGCAUACAGGAGUAAUACAUAAUGCAUGAGUAUGAGCCAUUUCUGAUCACGGUAUCCCAACAAUAUGUUUAAUGGACAGAACAGAGAUGAAUGAACUGAUCCAAGGGAAUUUGAUGAACACCCAUACUGGGUGGGUAUGGAGAGAUUCUGUAGAUGCUACAGAGCAGUACUACAGCGCUGCAGUGCAAGCAGCCUGCUGCUUCUGUGAGUACAAGCUUCUUGGACAGAUUGAGUGUGUCAUCUGUUGUGAUGGCAAAUGUAUCAGAAUUUGUGGCCCUGAAGAUCCUCAUUAGCUUACUUAGCCUUUCAGUUUAAGUGAAGUGGUUCUGCAAACCGUGCUGCAAUGUCCAGCCCUCCUCUGGAAAUGGAAUGAAUGUUGUAUUACUCAGAGGGACACGGUUUACUCAGCCGCAUCUGGUUUAAUAGUUCCAGGUUUAAUAGUUGCUUUAGUGACCCGGGACCCACCUGCACCAAUUACAUCAAGACAUGCAUGGCUGUCAUUUUCAUGGUGUGCCCCAUUUGAGAUUUAGUGUAAUAGGCGUCUUUUACAGAAGACAGCUGUUUGAAUGUUUAUGAAUUUAAUGGUUUAAGACACUAAGCUAAAAAAUUUUGGCAGGAAGUCUACAUGUAGUUAGAAAUUCAGAUGUCAUGUCUUCGCUCUGGAUAAGAGCCAGUUGUAGAGCAGCACAGGAUGAGAUGACAAACAGGAUGGUCGAAUUCCGUUGAACAUGCACUGAAAAUUAUUGGGGAGAUCUAGUGGCACUGAUCAGUAUAGCAAGACGAAACCUGCAGCGGAUCUCCAGGAUUCGUCUUCUCUGGAUGAAAGGUGGCCAACCAAUCGGAGUUGGAUGCCGAGCUGAGACAGAACUGUGCAGUACAAUGCCAGUGAGUGGGUGAACCUGUAUGUUUGUGCAUGUCUUCAAGUAAUGUGACCGGACCCUCAGGACAUUUGUCCGGCCUAAUCCUGCCUCCAACUGAGACACUGCAGGGCAGAUUUGUGGAGUCAGCUGGAGAGGUCUGCCUGGCCCUCUUAAAAGGGAUCUGUUGCUCUGGCCUGACGCUGUGAUCUGGCCCCGCACAAUAUGGGAGCCACAAGUGAAUCUAUGGUGUCCCUUUCCCUGCAGCCAGCUGGCCAAAGGACCACACUCAGGCCAAGUUCCUACUUGACAUAUCACGUCACACAGCGUAUCUCGUUCUGCACCCCUAAAUCACAUUGCUGGUGGAUGAUUUUAUCCCAAGCUGAUUGGAGGUUGGAAGUUAUAGGCAUUACAUGGCUUUUGUUAUUGGCAGUUGAGAUGUUGAAUAAAGCAGUGCUGACUUGCUGGUCUCCCCUUUAUUUGUAUGGCUGUUAAGGUAGUGUUCUCUAACAAGAACAGAUUAUAUGAACUGUAAAAAUCACAACACAGUCCCUCGCUAUUGUUUCUAUGCACCAUCCACAGGUAGACAUACACUAUGCCUACUAUUAUGUGCAAUAGUAUAUUAUACAGCUUACAAGUGUACUCAAUAUGGUCUAUAGAAAACAAAUCUGCUAAAACACCACAAGUACACAAAAACUCAUGUCAAAUUAGCUGAAGGUUAAGUGCAUGAUGUAUAUACUAUUUAGAGCAUGAAAAGCACAGCAUUUUGUGGCCAACAAAUCAGGUAUUGUUUCAAUAACUAUGCAAAUAAUGUCCCAGCAUGCAUAGGGUCAUGUAUAAAAAUAUUGCUCUGGCCUAAUUGCCAAUAAUUAGGGCUAGCAUGGCUACAAGAGUUGAUUGCAGUGACUUUGAAAGAAGGGUGAGA